GAUGAACGCUGGCGGCGUGCUUAACACAUGCAAGUCGAACGAUGAAGCCCAGCUUGCUGGGUGGAUUAGUGGCGAACGGGUGAGUAACACGUGAGUAACCUGCCCUUAACUCUGGGAUAAGCCUGGGAAACUGGGUCUAAUACCGGAUAGGAGCGUCCACCGCAUGGUGGGUGUUGGAAAGAUUUAUCGGUUUUGGAUGGACUCGCGGCCUAUCAGCUUGUUGGUGAGGUAAUGGCUCACCAAGGCGACGACGGGUAGCCGGCCUGAGAGGGUGACCGGCCAACACGGGAACGAGAAACCGCCCAGACUCCUACGGGAGGCAGCAGUUGGGAAUAUUGCACCAUGGGCGCAAGCCUGAUGCAGCGACGCCGCGUGAGGGAUGACGGCCUUCGGGUUGUAAACCUCUUUCAGUAGGGAAGAAGCGAAAGUGACGGUACCUGCAGAAGAAGCACCGGCUAACUACGUG
rnacentral:rRNA from 1 species